rnacentral:rRNA from 1 species
UACAGGGGGUGCAAACGUUGCUCGGAAUCAUUGGGCGUAAAGCGCACGUAGGCGGUCUGUUAUGUCGGAUGUGAAAGCCCUUGGCUCAACUGAGGAAGUGCGUCUGAGACUGGAAGGCUUGAAUUCGGGAGAGGGAUGUGGAAUUCCAGGUGUAGCGGUGAAAUGCGUAGAUAUCUGGAGGAACACCGGUGGCGAAGGCGGCAUCCUGGACCGAUAUUGACGCUGAUGCGCGAAAGCCAGGGGAGCAAACGGG